GACGAACGCUGGCGGCGUGCCUAAUACAUGCAAGUCGAGCGAGCUUGCCUAGAUGAAUUUGGUGCUUGCACCAAAUGAAACUAGAUACAAGCGAGCGGCGGACGGGUGAGUAACACGUGGGUAACCUGCCCAAGAGACUGGGAUAACACCUGGAAAUAGAUGCUAAUACCGGAUAACAACACUAGACGCAUGUCUAGAGUUUAAAAGAUGGUUCUGCUAUCACUCUUGGAUGGACCUGCGGUGCAUUAGCUAGUUGGUAAGGUAACGGCUUACCAAGGCAAUGAUGCAUAGCCGAGUUGAGAGACUGAUCGGCCACAUUGGGACUGAGACACGGCCCAAACUCCUACGGGAGGCAGCAGUAGGGAAUCUUCCACAAUGGACGCAAGUCUGAUGGAGCAACGCCGCGUGAGUGAAGAAGGGUUUCGGCUCGUAAAGCUCUGUUGGUAGUGAAGAAAGAUAGAGGUAGUAACUGGCCUUUAUUUGACGGUAAUUACUUAGAAAGUCACGGCUAACUACGUGCCAGCAGCCGCGGUAAUACGUAGGUGGCAAGCGUUGUCCGGAUUUAUUGGGCGUAAAGCGAGUGCAGGCGGUUCAAUAAGUCUGAUGUGAAAGCCUUCGGCUCAACCGGAGAAUUGCAUCAGAAACUGUUGAACUUGAGUGCAGAAGAGGAGAGUGGAACUCCAUGUGUAGCGGUGGAAUGCGUAGAUAUAUGGAAGAACACCAGUGGCGAAGGCGGCUCUCUGGUCUGCAACUGACGCUGAGGCUCGAAAGCAUGGGUAGCGAACAGG
rnacentral:rRNA from 1 species